GAUGAACGCUGGCGGCGUGCCUAAUACAUGCAAGUCGAGCGAACAGACGAGGAGCUUGCUCCUCUGACGUUAGCGGCGGACGGGUGAGUAACACGUGGAUAACCUACCUAUAAGACUGGGAUAACUUCGGGAAACCGGAGCUAAUACCGGAUAAUAUAUUGAACCGCAUGGUUCAAUAGUGAAAGACGGUUUUGCUGUCACUUAUAGAUGUAUCCGCGCCGCAUUAGCUAGUUGGUAAGGUAACGGCUUACCAAGGCAACGAUGCGUAGCCGACCUGAGAGGGUGAUCGGCCACACUGGAACUGAGACACGGUCCAGACUCCUACGGGAGGCAGCAGUAGGGAAUCUUCCGCAAUGGGCGAAAGCCUGACGGAGCAACGCCGCGUGAGUGAUGAAGGUCUUCGGAUCGUAAAACUCUGUUAUUAGGGAAGAACAAAUGUGUAAGUAACUAUGCACGUCUUGACGGUACCUAAUCAGAAAGCCACGGCUAACUACGUG
rnacentral:rRNA from 1 species